rnacentral:rRNA from 1 species
GAUGAACGCUGGCGGCGUGCCUAAUACAUGCAAGUCGAGCGAACAGACGAGGAGCUUGCUCCUCUGACGUUAGCGGCGGACGGGUGAGUAACACGUGGAUAACCUACCUAUAAGACUGGGAUAACUUCGGGAAACCGGAGCUAAUACCGGAUAAUAUAUUGAACCGCAUGGUUCAAUAGUGAAAGACGGUUUUGCUGUCACUUAUAGAUGGAUCCGCGCCGCACUAGCUAGUUGGUAAGGUAACGGCUUACCAAGGCAACGAUGCGUAGCCGACCUGAGAGGGUGAUCGCCCACACUGGAACUGAGACACGGUCCAGACUCCUACGGGAGGCAGCAGUAGGGAAUCUUCCGCAAUGGGCGAAAGCCUGACGGAGCAACGCCGCGUGAGUGAUGAAGGUCUUCGGAUCGUAAAACUCUGUUAUUAGGGAAGAACAAAUGUGUAAGUAACUAUGCACGUCUUGACGGUACCUAAUCAGAAAGCCACGGCUAACUACGUG